GGAGAGUACCCGCAGAAUAAGCAUCGGCUAACUACGUGCCAGCAGCCGCGGUAAUACGUAGGGACAAGCGUUAUCCGGAUUUACUGGGUGUAAAGGGGGCGCAGACGGCAGCGCAAGCCAGGAGUGAAAGCCCGGGGCCAACCCCGGGACUGCUCUUGGAACUGCGCGGCUGGAGUGCAGGAGGGGCAGGCGGAAUUCCUGGUGUAGCGGUGAAAUGCGUAGAUAUCAGGAGGAACACCGGUGGCGAAGGCGGCCUGCUGGACUGCGACUGACGUUGAGGCCCGAAAGCGUGGGGAGCAAACAGGAUUAGAUACCCUGGUAGUCCACGCCGUAAACGAUGAUUACUAGGUGUCGGGGAGCAGAGACUGCCCGGUGCCGCAGCCAACGCAUUAAGUAAUCCACCUGGGGAGUACGUCCGCAAGGAUG
rnacentral:rRNA from 1 species